AAUAAGGUGCCUGAAUUAAAAGGAUUACUUUGAUAGAGUAAAUUAUGUAUUUAUUAUACCCUUAUUA
rnacentral:tRNA from 1 species